GACGGGGCCCGCACAAGCGGUGAGCAUGUGGUUUAAUUCGAUGAUACGCGAGGAACCUUACCUGGGCUCAAAUGUAUGUUGACGUAUUCUGAAAGGGAUACUUCUUCGGACAAUAUACAAGGUGCUGCAUGGUUGUCGUCAGCUCGUGCCGUGAGGUGUCGGGUUAAGUCCCAUAACGAGCGCAACCCCUAUCAUUAGUUGCCAUCAGGUCAAGCUGGGGACUCUAAUGAAACUGCCUACGCAAGUAGUGAGGAAGGUGGGGAUGACGUCAAAUCAGCACGGCCCUUACGUCCAGGGCUACACACGUGCUACAAUGGCCGGUACAAAGGGCAGCUACCUGGUGACAGGAUGCUAAUCUCAAAAGCCGGUCUCAGUUCGGAUCGGAGUCUGCAACUCGACUGCGUGAAGUCGGAAUCGCUAGUAAUCGUGAAUCAGAAUGUCACGGUGAAUACGUUCCCGGGCCUU
rnacentral:rRNA from 1 species